rnacentral:rRNA from 1 species
GGGGAAUAUUGGACAAUGGGCGAAAGCCUGAUCCAGCCAUGCCGCGUGAGUGAUGAAGGCCCUAGGGUUGUAAAGCUCUUUCAACGGUGAAGAUAAUGACGGUAACCGUAGAAGAAGCCCCGGCUAACUUCGUGCCAGCAGCCGCGGUAAUACGAAGGGGGCUAGCGUUGUUCGGAAUUACUGGGCGUAAAGCGCACGUAGGCGGACUGGUCAGUUAGGGGUGAAAUCCCGGGGCUCAACCCCGGAACUGCCUUUAAUACUGCCAGUCUUGAGUUCGAGAGAGGUGAGUGGAAUUCCGAGUGUAGAGGUGAAAUUCGUAGAUAUUCGGAGGAACACCAGUGGCGAAGGCGGCUCACUGGCUCGAGACUGACGCUGAGGUGCGAAAGCGUGGGGAGCAAAC